UACGGAGGAUCCAAGCGUUAUCCGGAAUCAUUGGGUUUAAAGGGUCCGUAGGUGGAUGAUUAAGUCAGAGGUGAAAGUUUGCAGCUCAACUGUAAAAUUGCCUUUGAUACUGGUUAUCUUGAAUUAUUAUGAAGUGGUUAGAAUAUGUAGUGUAGCGGUGAAAUGCAUAGAUAUUACAUAGAAUACCAAUUGCGAAGGCAGAUCACUAAUAAUAUAUUGACACUGAUGGACGAAAGCGUGGGGAGCGAACAGG
rnacentral:rRNA from 1 species